GGGUAGAAUUCAGCCAGGAUU
rnacentral:miRNA from 1 species